rnacentral:rRNA from 1 species
AGCUGCGUGAUUUAGUGUGAAUUGCAGGACACAUUGAGCAUCGACGAUCUGAACGCGAAUUGCGGCUUGGCGUUAAUCCCGGGACCGCGCCCGCCUCAGGGUCG